GAUCAUGACCUGAGCCAAAGGCAGACACUUAACCGACUGAACCACCCAAGUGUCCCUGAUUCUGUUGAGACUAUCUGGAGCAAUAAAGAUUAGAGCAGAGGUCUCUUGAUGGCCCGUCUAGAGGUCAGUGGUCCAAGGACUGCCUGUACAUUAUUAUGGAAUAACAUCUACCAGAGAAAGCCCAGUAACAGAGGUGGUGGAGCAGACUCUAGGAUGGGAGACGUAAUGGUCAUGACUAAUGUGCCAGAGAUCCGUCCCUCCACUGGAGCUGGAAUGGAAGCCCAUGAGGAUAAAAAGGAUUUGUUUAUUUUCUUCAUUUCUCUGUUUCCAGCGCCCUGUGCACUGUUGGCACACAGUAACUCCUUAAUAAAUAUAGAUUGAAUGAACUAUCAGUGUCAGGUAGCCUAUAAUUUCUUUAUUGACUAAGACUAGAUAAUUUGUGAGUCUUUCCAUGA